AGCAAUCAGCGAGACUCCAUGGGCGUAGGACCCUCCGAGCCAGGUGCGGGAUAUAAUCUUGUGGCGCGCCGUUUUUUAAGCCUGUUGGAAGAGCGCAGUAUUCGGGUGGGAGUGACCCGAUUUUCCAGGUGCGUCCGUCACCCCUUUCUUUGACUCAGAAAGGGAACUCCCUGACCCCUUGAGCUUCCCAAGUGAGGCAAUGCCUCACCCUGCUUUGGCUUGCGCACGGUGCGCGCACCCACUGACCUGCGCCCAUUGUCUGGCACUCCCUAGUGAGAUGAACCCGGUACCUCAGAUGGAAAUGCAGAAAUCACCCGUCUUCUGCGUCGCUCACGCUGGGAGCUGUGCACCGGAGCUGUUCCUAUUUGGCCAUCUUGGCUCCUCUCCCCUUGUUCCUGAUUUUAAUGGGACUACCUUGGUUAUUUCACAGCACACUUACGGUGCUUUGUGAAGUGCCUGCUAUGUUACUAUCAUCAUCUUCCUGACAAGAUGGGUAGAAGUAAGACAUAUCAAGAUUUAAAACAUAAAUAGCUUGGAACACCCUGAAGAGCAACAUGGG
rnacentral:lncRNA from 10 species